UGUUAAAAAUUUCAUUUACUUGCACUAUAAAAAAUUGAUAGGACUGAUAGAAUAAUCAAACAAUAACACAUAAUAUGUCAAGUAUACCUCAUGCUGAUGUACAAAAAUCAGGUUUUAAUAGUAGAAAUGAAUGAAAUUUUUAACA
rfam:Gossypium hirsutum cultivar TM-1 unplaced genomic scaffold scaffold1149.1, whole genome shotgun sequence